CUCCCUGCCUGAAUCUACCAGCCAGCGAAUGACAACUGACUGAGUAUAAAUACUAGGACUACAGAACCGUGAUAAAAGGAGCCUGAGCUGAGUCCACACACUGGAAGCCCAGAACUGAGGGAACAGAUGAAAGAAAGAAAGUCAGCAGGUUUAGGGGAUGAGAACAACUCACAAAGGACAAGCCAUUGGAGUCUCCUGCCCCUGGCCAGGGAGAGCCACAGGCUGGAUGACAUCUGGUUUAUAGUGAGGGGCAGCAGCAACUCCAAGAGGGGGAAGAUGUGACCAUGAGCCCCGCCCCAGACCCAGGAGGCUUGACCUUGGGGCUGCCGUAGCAGUGGAUGCUCUUCAGCUGAAUGACCUAUCCUGGGCCCGUGACCCUGGACUUCAGCCAGAUCAGCAUCUCAAGGCUGGAGUUCAAUGGCAUGAUCUCG